rnacentral:lncRNA from 1 species
GGAUGCUUUUGUUACGGCACAUGGCGAGAAGAAGACUGGGCUGUCAUCUCCAGCGAAGCGUCCUCCGCAAACGCACGUCUGCGCUGAAUAACUGUGGGGAGAAGAGCAUUGACAACAUCUGCCGGUGGUUGUGG